rnacentral:rRNA from 1 species
UACAGAGGUCCCAAGCGUUGUUCGGAUUCACUGGGCGUAAAGGGUGCGUAGGUGGCCAGGUAAGUUUGGUGUGAAAGCUCGGAGCUUAACUCCGAAAAGUCAUUGAAUACUAUCUGGCUGGAGGGUCGGAGGGGAGACUGGAAUUCUCGGUGUAGCAGUGAAAUGCGUAGAUAUCGAGAGGAACACCAGUGGCGAAGGCGAGUUUCUGGACGACUCCUGACACUGAGGCACGAAAGCUAGGGGAGCAAACAGG